UCGCUCCAUGGCUGAUCUCUCCCAUUGUGUGGUUCUUUGGUGAAAACUGGCUGGAAUGUUACUGACUUCUGCUGAAGUGGGCAGUUUGAGUUGGCCUUGUUGAGCAGUGAGCUCGCUACUCAUUAUCAUCCUACAGUUGCAGUGGAUUAUUUCACAGUUCCACUGGUCAAGGGAGAGUCGCUGUUCUGCUGCAACUGGGUUAGCGCCCGUCCAUGCUCCAUAUGCUCUUUGCUCUAUGUGCUAGGUGUUUGUGAUUUAGAUAGUAACAAGAUGUGCUAAAUGAUGAGUAGAUGUGACAACUAGUAGUUUUUAUCUGUGCUGUACAAUAUUUGGUCCAAUAGUACAUAGGCUAUCUUUGAGGGGAACCAAUCCUUCCAGUGUGUGUGUGUGCAGUGCAAGAAGAUGCUGUAAUAGUAGCCAAACAGCUUCAGAGGAACAGCAACUUUGUUUACUUUGUUUUUUUUGUUAAUUUCAAUUACUACUUCUGUGUGUUGCAUGUGGUUGUAUUCAUUUCUUUUGUGAUCGCUUGCUGUGUAUUACUCUUGCUUGCCCUCUUUGAGGCCCUGUAUAUUUGUACAUUUGAAAUUAUUGCUAUUUGCACAGAUCAUUGCAUGGUUGCUAACUCAUGUCAAGCAUUUGCCAUCUAAGAAUGAACAUGAGAUGCAUUUAAAAGGAGAAUACUGAAAAUAAAUACAAAGCACAUGGGACUCCUUUUUCUCUGUCUGUUCUUAACUGAUCCUGAGUG